GGCCUUUCAGCUGUUGCUGCGCG
rnacentral:miRNA from 1 species